UUGGAUUUCACUCAAAACACACCAAACGAUUCCUCCCAACAUAUUAUGAUGUUCCCCAAGUUUGGGACUUGAUCCGAUAACGAUUGGUCCAUGAAAUUGGACAAUUCAGGUUCGUAAAAAGUUCAUUCUGAAAUGGGGCGGUUGGUGUAUUGCCUAGUUUUAGUGAUUGGAUUUCACUCAGAACCCACCAAAUGACUCCUUCCACCAUAUUAUGUUGUUCCCCAAGUUGUGGACUCAAUUCUAUAUCGAUUGGUCCAUGAAAUUAGACAAUUCAGGUUAGUACGAAGUUCGUUGUGAAAUGGAGUGGUCGGUGUAUUGCAUAAUUUUAGCCAUUGGAUUUCACUCAAAAGUCACCAAAUGACUCCACCCACCAUAUUAUCAUGUUCC
rnacentral:lncRNA from 1 species